rnacentral:lncRNA from 1 species
CAUGAUUACAUGAAGUGCUCAUUGCUCAUUAUCCAUUGCAAGUCCCUUCCUAGUGGUAAAAAUAUAAAUAACGAUACAUGAAAUACUUCUGGUUAAAAUGCUACAUCCAUAUUAUCUGUGCGCUUACAGAUCUUUUACAUAUUUAUUUAUUCCUUGAAAAGCAUAUAGAUUUAAUACCAGCACUUCUACAUCAUGUUAGGGAUGACAACCUAGCUUAAGUGAUGUUAUGUAAUUUUGACACCAUUGCUAUGGAUAGGUUUAAGAGUCUAUAUUUAGUGGUUGCGUUAAGAAGUGUCAACAAGCAUUUUUUUGGCGCCGUUGCCGAGGAAGGUGAAAGAAUUAAAGGAUAAUGAGCAUCACUGCAUCAACUCAUGGAUUGAGCACCAUCCACCCUUCUCACUCAUACAACUUUACCCUUGUCUUUUUGUAUAUUUUUAUCAUAUGCAGGUAAUGUAUGAACAUGAUUGAUCUCCUAGGAAACUUUGUUGAUAAUCCAUAGACAUUGAUCAGAAAGACAAAGGCUAGGUUGAGAAGGAACCAAUCAACAUCAUCAACAUCUCAGCUUACCAAUCCUCCUGAGACAGAAGAUCAACCUACUCAAAGUUUGACACUAGAGGUUGACGCCAUGGCUGACACGUCACUUCGUGAGUUCUCAGCUCCUAUUACGGCCAACAUCCAUACUGGACAAGCUAUGGACAAUAAUGGGUCAUUUGAGCUCAAGCUAGCGCUAAUCAACAUGGUGUAAGCAAGCCAGUUCUGCGGGAAGGCAAAUGAAGAUGCUAGUGCUCAUCUCCAACACU